CACCCCCUGUAGUGUUCGACAGCGGCCUGGGUAUUUUCUUGAGCCUAAUCACUACCCCGGGGAUAUGACGGAAUAGCUGUUGCGCAAGUCCGCCUUCGAGCGGAAAGCCUGAAGCGGCUACGACUGUCCCCACUUGAACCGUCUGGUUCAAGAACGAAGGCCCGCAACGGCACAAAUGGGGGGUGU
rnacentral:other from 1 species